rnacentral:sRNA from 1 species
AAUAGAGGGACUUCGUCUAAAAACGCUACGUCCUGUGGCAAUGACUGAGUGGCCAACAUCGUGCGGC